UACGAAGGGGGCUAGCGUUGUUCGGAAUUACUGGGCGUAAAGCGCAUGUAGGCGGAUCACUAAGUCAGGGGUGAAAUCCCGGAGCUCAACCUCGGAACUGCCUUUGAUACUGGCAAUCUCGAGUCCGGAAGAGGUGAGUGGAAUUCCUAGUGUGGAGGUGAAAUUCGUAGAUAUUAGGAAGAACACCAGUGGCGAAGGCGGCUUACUGGGUCGGUACUGACGCUGAGGUGCGAAAGCGUGGGGAGCAAACAGG
rnacentral:rRNA from 1 species